CCCACCUUCGAUGCAUGGUCAUUAUCUGGAGAGAAGGAUAACAUGCAGCCAGCCAUAUCAUUGAAGAAGAAGAAAACAACUGAAAUGAGCAAUUAAACAUACCUUCUGCCUGAGAU